GGUGACUAGUGACAAAGUGAGGGGAUGACUAGUGACAGAGUUAGGGAGGGAGUGACUAGUGACAGAGGGAGGGAUGGGGUGACAGUCACCACCUCCCUCACUCUGUCACUAGUCACCAUCUCCCUCCCUCUGUCACUAGUCACCAUCUCCCUCAUUCUGUCACUAGUCACACCCUCCCUCACUAGUCACCUCUCCCUCACUCUGUCACUAGUCACACCCUCCCUCACUAGUCACCCCUCCCUCACUCUGUCACUAGUCACCC